rfam:Vanderwaltozyma polyspora DSM 70294 KpolScaffold483 genomic scaffold, whole genome shotgun sequence.
UCCUUGUUAGCUCAGUUGGUAGAGCGUUCGGCUUUUAAACAUUUCCAAGUUUAAACCAAGGAUACCGAAAUGUCAGGGGUUCGAGCCCCCUAUGAGGAG